GGGCUUGUAGUCUAAUGGUUAUGACAUUGCUUUCACGUAGCAAAGAUUCCAGGUUCAAUUCCUGGCAAGCCCA
rnacentral:tRNA from 1 species